rnacentral:misc_RNA from 1 species
GAUGAAGAACGUAGCGAAAUGCGAUAAGUAGUGUGAAUUGCAGAAUUCAGUGAAUCAUCGAAUCUUUGAACGCACAUUGCGCCCCUUGGUAUCCCGAGGGGCAUGCCUGUUCGAGCGUCAUAUCACCACUCAAGCCUGGCUUGGUGUUGGGCGACGUCCCCUUUGGGGACGCGCCUCGAAACGCUCGGCGGCGUGGCACCGGCUUUAAGCGUAGCAGAAUCUUUCGCUUUGGAAGUCGGGGCCCCGUCUGCCGGAAGACCUACUCGCAAGGUUGACCUCGGAUCAGGCAGGGAUACCCGCUGAACUUAAGCAUAUCAAUAAGCGGAGGA